rnacentral:rRNA from 1 species
CAGUAGCCGCGGUAAUACGUAGGGUGCAAGCGUUAAUCGGAAUUACUGGGCGUAAAGCGUGCGCAGGCGGUUUGUUAAGACAGAUGUGAAAUCCCCGGGCUCAACCUGGGAACUGCAUUUGUGACUGGCAAGCUAGAGUGUGGCAGAGGGGGGUGGAAUUCCGCGUGUAGCAGUGAAAUGCGUAGAUAUGCGGAGGAACACCGAUGGCGAAGGCAGCCCCCUGGGCCAACACUGACACUCAUGCACGAAAGCGUGGGGAGCAAACAGGAUUAGAUACCCCGGUAGUCCCUGUCUCUUAUAC